rnacentral:misc_RNA from 1 species
UUCUCUGGUCUUGAAGAAAAGGUCCUUCAGCAGUAUACUUUUGCAAAGGCAAAUAUGAUCAGAACAGCAGCUAUGAACUAUUUGCUAAACUCUGGUGUACGAUGGGGAUCCGCACCUGAAGUCAAAGGUCUUCGUAAUGCAGCCGUGGAGUUAUUGCACUCUCUAGUAGCUGUUCACUCAGAGGUCUUCACUGGUGCUAAGCCUCUCUUGGAUAAGACACUUGGCAUUCUUGUGGA